AUUGAACGCUGGCGGCAUGCUUUACACAUGCAAGUCGAACGGUAACAGGCCGCAAGGUGCUGACGAGUGGCGAACGGGUGAGUAAUGCAUCGGAACGUGCCCAGUCGUGGGGGAUAACGCAGCGAAAGCUGUGCUAAUACCGCAUACGAUCUAUGGAUGAAAGCGGGGGACCGUAAGGCCUCGCGCGAUUGGAGCGGCCGAUGUCAGAUUGGGUAGUUGGUGGGGUAAAGGCUCACCAAGCCAACGAUCUGUAGCUGGUCUGCUAGGACGACCAGCCACACUGGGACUGAGACACGGCCCAGACUCCUACGGGAGGCAGCAGUGGGGAAUUUUGGACAAUGGGCGCAAGCCUGAUCCAGCAAUGCCGCGUGCAGGAAGAAGGCCUUCGGGUUGUAAACUGCUUUUGUACGGAACGAAACGGCGAGCUCUAAUACAGUUUGCUAAUGACGGUACCGUAAGAAUAAGCACCGGCUAACUACGUGCCAGCCGCCGCCGUAA
rnacentral:rRNA from 1 species